rfam:Salmo salar isolate Sally breed double haploid chromosome ssa09, whole genome shotgun sequence.
GUCUCUCUGGUGGAGUGGUUCUUAACAGUUCAACAGUUCUUUGCCAAAAUUGUGAAAUGUUUAGGACCACUUGAUCAGGC